UACGGAGGGUGCAAGCGUUAUCCGGAUUUACUGGGUUUAAAGGGUGUGUAGGCGGAUUAUUAAGUCAGCGGUGAAAUCUCUGGGCUCAACCCAGAGUCUGCACAGGAAACUGUCGGGCUUGAGUAUGGGAGAGGUGCGUGGAAUUUCCGGUGUAGCGGUGAAAUGCGUAGAUAUCGGAAGGAACACCUGUGGCGAAAGCGGCGCACUGGACCAAAACUGACGCUGAGGCGCGAAAGCUAGGGGAGCAAACAGG
rnacentral:rRNA from 1 species